AGUGAACGCUGGCGGUAGGCCUAACACAUGCAAGUCGAACGGCAGCACAGUAAGAGCUUGCUCUUACGGGUGGCGAGUGGCGGACGGGUGAGGAAUACAUCGGAAUCUACUUUUUCGUGGGGGAUAACGUAGGGAAACUUACGCUAAUACCGCAUACGACCUACGGGUGAAAGCAGGGGAUCUUCGGACCUUGCGCGAUUGAAUGAGCCGAUGUCGGAUUAGCUAGUUAGCGGGGUAAAGGCCCACCAAGGCGACGAUCCGUAGCUGGUCUGAGAGGAUGAUCAGCCACACUGGAACUGAGACACGGUCCAGACUCCUACGGGAGGCAGCAGUGGGGAAUAUUGGACAAUGGGCGCAAGCCUGAUCCAGCCAUACCGCGUGGGUGAAGAAGGCCUUCGGGUUUUAAAGCCCUUUUGUUGGGAAAGAAAAGCAGCAGGUUAAUACCCCGCUGUUCUGACGGUACCCAAAGAAUAAGCACCGGCUAACUUCGUG
rnacentral:rRNA from 1 species